rnacentral:rRNA from 1 species
UGGGGAAUAUUGGACAAUGGGGGCAACCCUGAUCCAGCGAUGCCGCGUGAGUGAAGAAGGCCUUCGGGUCGUAAAGCUCUUUAGGUUGGGAAGAAGGGUAUGUGGUGCAUAGCCACGUACUUUGACGGUACCGACAGAAUAAGCACCGGCAAACUCUGUGCCAGCAGCCGCGGUAAUACAGAGGGUGCGAGCGUUAAUCGGAAUUACUGGGUGUAAAGGGCGCGUAGGCGGUAAGAUGUGUGUGGUGUGAAAGCCCCGGGCUUAACCUGGGAAGUGCAUCGCAAACUAUCUAACUAGAGUAUAUGAGAGGGUGGCGGAAUUUCCGGUGUAGCGGUGAAAUGCGUAGAGAUCGGAAGGAACGUCAAUGGCGAAGGCAGCCACCUGGCAUAAUACUGACGCUGAGGCGCGAAAGCGUGGGGAGCGAACAGGAUUAGAUACCCCCGUAGUCC